AUUGAACGCUGGCGGCAUGCUUUACACAUGCAAGUCGAACGGCAACAGGCCUUCGGGUGCUGCCGAGUGGCGAACGGGUGCGUAAUGCAUCGGAACGUACCCAGAGGUGGGGGUUCACGCAGCGAAAGCUGUGCUAAUACAGGCUGUGAUCUGAGGCUGAAAGCGGGGGACCGCGCAGCAAUGUUUGGCCUCGCGCCUUUGGAGCGGCCGAUGUCGGAUUAGCUAGUUGGUGGGGUAAAGGCCUACCAAGGCGACGAUCCGUAGCUGGUCUGAGAGGACGACCAGCCACACUGGAACUGAGACACGGCCCAGACUCCUACGGGAGGCAGCAGUGGGGAAUUUUGGACAAUGGGCGCAAGCCUGAUCCAGCAAUGCCGCGUGCGGGAAGAAGGCCUUCGGGUUGUAAACCGCUUUUGUCAGGAACGAAACGGUGUCCGCUAAUACCGGGCGCUAAUGACGGUACCUGCAGAAUAAGCACCGGCUAACUACGUG
rnacentral:rRNA from 1 species